rnacentral:rRNA from 1 species
AGUGAACGCUGGCGGUAGGCCUAACACAUGCAAGUCGAACGGCAGCACAGUAAGAGCUUGCUCUUACGGGUGGCGAGUGGCGGACGGGUGAGGAAUACAUCGGAAUCUACUUUUUCGUGGGGGAUAACGUAGGGAAACUUACGCUAAUACCGCAUACGACCUACGGGUGAAAGCAGGGGAUCUUCGGACCUUUCGCGUUUGUAUGAGCCGAUGUCGGAUUAGCUAGUUGGCGGGGUAAAGGCCCACCAAGGCGACGAUCCGUAGCUGGUCUGAGAGGAUGAUCAGCCACACUGGAACUGAGACACGGUCCAGACUCCUACGGGAGGCAGCAGUGGGGAAUAUUGGACAAUGGGCGCAAGCCUGAUCCAGCCAUACCGCGUGGGUGAAGAAGGCCUUCGGGUUGUAAAGCCCUUUUGUUGGGAAAGAAAAGCAGCAGGUUAAUACCCCGCUGUUCUGACGGUACCCAAAGAAUAAGCACCGGCUAACUUCGUG